rnacentral:rRNA from 1 species
AUACGAAGGGUGCGAGCGUUAAUCGGAAUUACUGGGCGUAAAGCGCGCGUAGGCGGUUGGAUAAGUCGGAUGUGAAAGCCCCGGGCUCAACCUGGGAAUUGCAUUCGAAACUGUCCGGCUAGAGUAUGGUAGAGGGAAGCGGAAUUCCACAUGUAGCGGUGAAAUGCGUAGAUAGGUGGAGGAACACCAGUGGCGAAGGCGGCUUCCUGGACCAAUACUGACGCUGAGGUGCGAAAGCGUGGGGAGCAAACAGGAUUAGAAACCCUAGUAGUCC